CCCUGUGUGCCAGGGUUGCCUUAAUUGGUAUCAGAACGUGCCUGGACUCCAUCGUCCUUCCUGCCUGCUCACUCCUGCUGCAGCCACCAGCAAGUCACUGGCUGCCACCUCCACCUCUGGGAGGUGCAGCAGUGUCCACAGCCCCAAGAGGAGCUGGAGGCCAGCGGGGACUUCACCACCCAGAGCACUUACUGGAGCGCUACCCUCUCCUUAAAGGAGACAAUUCAGGGGAUCCAGCCCGGGAAGAUUUGGAGAGACUCUGAGGACAGAUACAGGGGACUGGGGUGCAGUCUCCCAUGGGAGUCACUGGUGUGACCUCCAGAAGCAGCCCAGAAAUUCUGCCUUUGGCCCUCACUUGGAAACACUCACUGGAGUCCCUAAGGACAGCACCAAGUGUGACUCUCCAGCAUCGCCAGCUUCCUCUCACUGCGGCAAAAGGGAUGUCAGGGCUUCCUGGACCUCUGGCAGACCUCUGAGAUGGC